CAGCAGCCGCGGGAAUACGUAGGUGGCAAGCGUUGUCCGGAAUUAUUGGGCGUAAAGGGCUCGCAGGCGGUUUCUUAAGUCUGAUGUGAAAGCCCCGGCUCAACCGGGGAGGGUCAUUGGAAACUGGGAAACUUGAGUGCAGAAGAGGAGAGUGGAAUUCCACGUGUAGCGGUGAAAUGCGUAGAGAUGUGGAGGAACACCAGUGGCGAAGGCGACUCUCUGGUCUGUAACUGACGCUGAGGAGCGAAAGCGUGGGGAGCGAACAGGAUUAGAUACCCCUGUAGUCCCUGUCUCUUAUACA
rnacentral:rRNA from 1 species